rnacentral:rRNA from 1 species
AGUAGUGGCGAACGAAAGGGGAACAGCCCAGCGCAUAACCUCCCGGGCUACCAAGCCUGCGGCGGAAUGUUGCGUAAAGGGAAAGGUCGUUUAUAAGCCCUGCACUACAUGGCCUAAGUUUGGCUUGAAUUUCUCACUGUAUCCUAACGGCUACAACGGCUCCACAGAGGGUGUCAGACCCGUGAGGCUAUGUGAUUAAAUGUGCAUGGGUUCGGCUUUAUUCCCUGAGAGUCGCGUUGCUUGAGCAUGCAGCGCUAAGCAGGUCGUAAACUCGACCUAAGGCUAAAUAUAUUCACAGAACCGAUAGUAAACAAGUACCGUGAGGGAAAGUUGAAAAGUACUCUGAAGAGAGAGUCAAAAGACCGUGAAACCGCUUAGAGUAUAAGCCAAUGGUAUUCUGGAAUGCUGGAGUUGCCCUAGCAAAAUUGUACCCGAUUGUGGGUUACGUCAAACGGGUAUCGUGUGAGCGAGAGAACAUGAAGGCUGAUGGGCAAUCGAACCGAAAAGUGGAAUUGAGUUUAUACCACGGCACCCAAAUCUCGCGGGUCUCUGACAGUGGUAACAGGGAACGUUCGUGAGGAACUGAACCGAGGCUGGACUUGAGCGAGCAUCAGUUUCUAAGCCCACUAACGAUUAACUCUCUAUACAGCACACCACAAUCCUUUAUAAGGUCUCCCUCGUGAGGUGUGGUCAUGGAGAGAGUGAGAGAGAAAGAGAUUUAUGUCCCGACUUUCUCUCUCUGUCUGUGUUUGCGAGUUGUGUCGCGUUAUGUGCCCUCUUGUUGUAUGUGCGCUUUGGCAGCGUGCUCCAAGUCCCGUACAUAUGUGUAUAUAACGGCAUUGGCUUGCCUGGGUAUAUGCAUUCGGGAAAUGUUGGUUGCAGAGGGCCGGCCAACUUUGCACUGCACCGUUCCAGACACGAACGGAAUGAUCCUAUGUGAAGAUUGAUUCUGACCAGCCGAUACCGGGAGUCAUACUCUGGCAGAGUAUGGUGAGCUAACGCACGGGAGUCCCCCGGCGCCUGGUACAUUAGCCCCUUAUGUUGGUCUCUAAUGAGGGACAGGAUGCUUACGCGUCCUCGUUGUCCGUCCUGCUGGAUGACUGGCUUUGGGGUGUGCUGGGAUCACGUUGGGAGUUUUGUCAUACCGUCGGGUUCAGGCUGUUUGGUGCAUUAUUCCAGAACCAUUGGUCACGUCUCGAAACACGGGCCAAGGAGCAUAGCAUGUGCGCAAGUCUAAGGGAUAAGAAAUCCUGGAGGCGAAGUGAAAGCAAAUGGUGUGUUUAUGAGUGUGCUCCCUCACGGGGGUGCGCUUGUAUUCAGCCUGCGAUGAGCGUAAUUCCUACACCUGCGUGUGUGGAUGACUGCGUCUCGCGGCUUAUACUGUGUUGAUCCCGAAUCGUAAUCAAGCCAAAUUGGCGAUACGCUGGCGCAAACACCAGGCUCUCAUAUGUGGGUAUUUGUUUAUCCUCGAGAGCACUGUGUAGCGUGCAUGCUAUAACCCGAAAGAUAGUGAACUAUGCCUGGCGAGGAUYGAAGCCCCAGGAAACUGGGGU